AGGAACCGGAUGCGGGAAAACUGCACGUCCGGGUCUGUGCGGGGGGCGCCCGGUAACGGGCGUCCCUACCGUGCGAUGGACACUUUCUAUUGUCUUUGGUUUCGGAUCCGAUUCGAAC
rnacentral:misc_RNA from 1 species